UAACCCUAGAUUUGCGAAAGAUCUCGCGAGGGUGAUCGUUUAAUCAAAUUAUGAUUUUUUCCUAACUCUAAGCAAGUUAUUUUUGUGUCUAAAUCUAACCAGCGUUGUCAUUUCAGAAAACAUUAUUAUUUGUUACAUUGCCGAACAACACGUACAAAUCUCGCGAGAGAUUCGCAAAUCUAGGGUUACCAUCUAGACACGACCCUCUCCCUUGUGAAACAUAAACACAGCUCGGUUUUCAUGGCAGUGGACAGACUGACUACCCUCACCCACACUGGUUCUAAUCUAGUAGCUUGCUACCUGGCUAGCAUCGAAAAUUACCAUCGAGUUGAUUGAACACCUUGACAGUCAACCCGAGCCAGCGUCAGUGAACUUCAUGCAGUGUUUUUAGCGGACAAAAUAAUGGAAACACCAUAUGAAAGAGGACUUUCGAGCACCUGAGUAGUUAUUACUGAACCUGCUGUCUGCCUGUUAGCUGGGAUUGUUUGUCUGCUCUAAGAGAGACAGUCAACACUCCAAUAUGAGUGACUUAACAGAGUUUGAAAGAUGCCAAAUAGUUGCUGCGAGACUUUCAGGUGCAUCUGUCACCAAAACCGCUCAGCUGUUCAAUGUGGCAAGGGGAACAGUCUCCAGAGUCAUGACCGUAUACAUCAAACAUGGACGGACAGCAUCAGCAAAGAAGAACAGCGGGCGCAAGUCAAAGCUCACAGAAAAGGACAGACAGACACUCCUCAGGAUAGUCGAUGAACACCCCGAGUAUACAGCCUCAAAGAUAACCACAGAGCUGAAUAGACACCUCUCUCACGCCGUCUCUGUGAAAACUAUACGGCGUGAGCUUCACAAAGCCGGUAUUUUUAGAGGAACAGCCAAUCGGGUAGCAGAGACAGAGACUGACACACAAAAGCAUGAUGGUGAGAGCACCAAACCUGAAUCUGAGUCAAGUGACAAAGAGUGUGACAUGCAAAAACCUGGAGAAGAGAGCGCGAGGUCUGAAAUGCAAACAAAUGACAAAGACAAUGGGGUACAAAAGCUUGUGAGAGAGAAAACAAAGUCUGAACCCCGGGCUAGUGGCAAAGAAUACAGCACACAAAAGACUGGUGAAGACAGCACAGGAUCUAAAUCACAGACCAAUGAAGAGGAUCAGAACUCACAAAAGCUUGAUCACAAGAACACGGGUCCUGUACCUCAGAGCAGUGAAAAGAAAUAACCUGGACUGAUGUGUUGUAUUUCAGCCUUUCUAAUACAUUCAGAUUGGUUAUGUUAAGGGAAAAUCACAGGAUGCCUUCGCCCCUUAAUGUCACCAGCUGUUAAAUAUGCCAGUGGAUCUAUAAUGAUGUUGAGGUUGUGAGGUUUGAUUAUUUAUUUUGCAUGGGUGGGUCAUGGUGCAAUGUUCAAGCUUUUUCAUUUUUCUUGGUUUACAAGCAAACGUUAUAACUUCAAUGCCGAAUGUUGAGAUUUGCUUGAUAGAUGAAAAUAUUCAUACUGUAGAUGUUAGAAUAUUAUGAUAUUGUUCAAUGCAAAACACCCAAUUCAGAACACAUGGUAAAUAAAAAAAAUUGUUUCAAGUUUGUGCUAAGCUGAUGAGCUGAGAUGAUGUUGGAUGUUUUUCACAUAUGGAUGUUUGUGUAUUGUAAAGCAUGGCCUUUUCAGAAAAACCUUCUUCUUCUUCUUCUUCUUCUUCUUCUUCUUCUUCUUCUUCUUCUUCUUCUUCUUCUUCGGGGUGUAACGGCAGCUUGCAUCCUUGGUGUUGCAUUACUACCAUCUUCUGGAGUUAGUUAACUCCUACAGUGUCCGGUUUGUCAGAUUUUUCCUAUUAAUCCUGUUCUCUUAAGACAGGUGACCAGACACUUCCUGCCUUGUCCACUUUCACAAAACUCCAGUAUCCCCUUUAAACCCACUCCUGUUAGCCCUGAUCUUCUCAUUCCCUCCAUCAUGUCCUUUCUCUCUGAGGUAUAUUUCCUGCAGUUAACAAGUACAUGAUCUACUGUUUCUGGUACCUGACAGUGUUCAGAAAGUCCAAUUGGAUGCCUCCCUAUAAUGUGUCCUAUUCUCAGUCUGGUCAUUAUUACCUCCUCUUUUCUAUAUCCUCCCCUAUUUAUCUCAAUACCUACUCAGUUUUGUGUUGCAUGUAGUUGUCUUCCUCCUAUCUCCUGAUCCUGGUGCUGCUGCCACUCUUUAUUGAUUGUCUUUCAUGCAUUACCCUUUCCCUCGUUCAGAAAAACCUCUUGUUGAAAGGGUGAAACCAAGUAGUAACCACGAUUGCAGAAGAGCCUUAAGAUAUAAUUCCUCUACAAACUCAAAAAGUCAUUUUGGUUGAAGUCAUUGUAAAAUAAAAUAUAUAUAGUAAAUAUAAAGUAACUUUUUUGUUACUUUGUUAAGAUUUCAGGUCCUCAGUUGAAAAUCUCAGUGUGUGUUUUCUAACGUGGGUCUUUUUGGUGAUUUUUAAAAAAAAAUAUUUUUCCAUUAAGGGGAUUUUAAGGCUUCUUUACAGGUUUCUUGGGCGAUCAUGCUCAGCUGUGGUGGUUGCUGUUUGCUCAAGUAAAGUGUAAUAAAAUAAAACGUUGGGCUCAUUCACCAGCA